GACGAACGCUGGCGGCGUGCUUAACACAUGCAAGUCGAACGGAAAGGCCCUGCUUUUGUGGGGUGCUCGAGUGGCGAACGGGUGAGUAACACGUGAGUAACCUGCCCUUGACUUUGGGAUAACUUCAGGAAACUGGGGCUAAUACCGGAUAGGAGCUCCUGCUGCAUGGUGGGGGUUGGAAAGUUUCGGCGGUUGGGGAUGGACUCGCGGCUUAUCAGCUUGUUGGUGGGGUAGUGGCUUACCAAGGCUUUGACGGGUAGCCGGCCUGAGAGGGUGACCGGCCACAUUAGGACUGAGAUACGGCCCAGACUCCUACGGGAGGCAGCAGUGGGGAAUAUUGCACAAUGGGCGGAAGCCUGAUGCAGCAACGCCGCGUGCGGGAUGACGGCCUUCGGGUUGUAAACCGCUUUCGCCUGUGACGAAGCGUGAGUGACGGUAAUGGGUAAAGAAGCACCGGCUAACUACGUG
rnacentral:rRNA from 1 species